rnacentral:rRNA from 1 species
AUUGAACGCUGGCGGCAGGCCUAACACAUGCAAGUCGAACGGUAACAGGAAGACGCUUGCUUCUUUGCUGACGAGUGGCGGACGGGUGAGUCAUGUCUGGGAAACUGCCUGAUGGAGGGGGAUAACUACUGGAAACGGUAGCUACUACCGCAUAACGUCGCAAGCCCAAUGAGGGGGACCUUCGGGCCUCUUGCCAUCGGAUGUGCCCAGAUGGGAUUCGCUAGUAGGUGGGGUUACGGCUCACCUAGUCGACGAUCCCUAGCUGGUCUGAGAGGAUGACCGGCCACACUGGAACUGGGACAGGGUCCAGGCGACUACGGGAGGCAGCAGUGGGGAAUAUUGCACAAUGGGCGCAAGCAUGGUGCAGCCAGGCCGCGUGUAUGGAGAAGGCGUUCGGGUUGUAAAGUACUUUCAGCGGUGAGGAAGGGAGUAAAGUUAAGACCUUUGCUCAUUGACGGUACCCGCAGAAGAAGCACCGGCUAACUCCGUG